rnacentral:tRNA from 1 species
ACCCAGCUGCUCCGUGGUAGAGCUUGCGACUUUUAAUCUCAGCGUUGUGAGUUCAAGCCCCACGUUGGGCA